CCUCGAUCAUGGGCCUUCUUCACCUCAAGACCUACUGGUAAUUUGGUGACAUGGAGCGUUAAGGACCAGUUACUGAGAUGAUGCCAUUCACCCAAGGAGUUGGUGCCUUUGAUGAGACUAUGAUGUGUGGGAUGUAGGCAUUCUGCUGUGAUCCUUGAAGGAGUUUGAUACAAGAUGCAUAAAGGAGCUGGGAUGAUUUCAUUUUUCUAAGGAGGUGGUGCGCUCUGGGACCCUGAUGUUGAUGAGUCUUCAUUCUUGUGGCACAUGAUAAAUGUACUUUGAUCUAUAAAGAGACUCCUAGUUACAAGAUCAUCUCCCACAAGAUGAACAUAAGGCCGUCUUGAUCUUCUCAGUUGCUUACCGCUGCUCGAGGACAAACCUGGACCCAAUUUCAUAGGGUCUUUUCUGCCAUCUGUCAUUCGGAAUGCAGAUGCAAAAAGUAAAACAAAAUAAACAAAUGUUUCAACAAAUGUUCAAAUUUGUCCGAUCAAAAAAUGCAUUUCUGGUAUUUUAUUUCCUUUUGGAAACUGCAUAAGAAAGGCAGAAAAGACCCUUGGGGAAACAGAGAAAUGUUACCCUCGACUGAGCAUUUUGGUUUACAAAUCAUUGAUCUACACAAAUUGGCCUUGUAGUUGUGUGGUUUUAAUUUUUGAGAAAAAGUUAAUUUCUCACUAAAAUAUUUGAAUCUGAGAAAGACUUCAGGCAUGGUUUCUUUCUCAGGGAUCUAAUAGAGCAGAAAUUUCGUGCAACAAGGGUGUUUAUUUUUUUGCAGUUGACCAAAUGUACCAAUAUUUUCACAGAUUUAUCAUUUUAU